UGUGUAGGACACAGCUAAGGGAAAACAGGCUGAGUGGUACUUAGCAAGGAGAAAUGCUGUGAGAAAGCAUCUACCUGCCUUACGAAGUGAUGAGAGGGGAGAGAAGACUGAGCAGGUGGCCUCAGUGGGCUAAAUAAGUAAGAGGUACAGGUGAAGAAAUUGGGCAGACUGGUUUUGUUUACACUGGGUGUGGAGACGCACUGGUGACUGUACUGUCCCAUUGGAUCUCCGGUCUACUCCCAUGGAGAAAGAAUUGUCUUGACUAAGAACUGGGAGUGUGGAGUAACAAGUAAGUGAAAUAAAUAAGGACACAGAUAUGGAAAUGGAAAGCAACCAAAAGCAACAACAUGAGGUGGGAAAGGGAUUUGGCGACAGAUGGGAAAUGGGAGAUGUAAAGUCUUUAAAAAGCAGGUAUGUUAUUGGGCUGUUGUAUCUUGCUUUGGUUGUGUUGCAUUUUGUUUGUUUGCCUGCUUUGUUAAAGUCAUUAAAUCGUAAAUCUUUCUAGUUUUUUAAAUACAGGCUGUUUUCCUAUGAAGCAAACUUCGAGUUGAGGAAACAGUGACCGAAACCUGGUAACUACUAUAAAAUAACCAAACAUAUGAAUGACUUCUGGAGUUACUUUAGUGGAAAGUGAUCUGAGAAAUAACAGGGAGCUAAAAAUUGAUACUUUUUUCCCCUUUAAAUUUAAGGGAGAGGCAAGAGUCCAGUAAGAUGAAAGCAUGAGAAAGAUUGACUGCAAUGGGAGGUGAUUAGAUGAGGCAAAUGAAUGUGGAUGCAGUCUUUAUUUUUUUCUUCCCUGAAUACAGCAGGGAAAAUGGAAGUGCUGCUCUGAUUAAAUGACAUUGCAUCAGAGUAAGCCAUUAGAAUCCAUUAGCUUGUUUGUAUAAAGGCUCAGGCCUUUACUUCUAAAUCCAGCUGGGAGGAGGAAUUGGAGGCCUUUGGAUAAGGUAAAUGAGCUAUAAUUAAUGCACAAAUUACUGUGUUUAUCUUCUAGAAGAUGGCAUUCCCUUUUUCCUAAAUAAAAACAUUCUGCCUGUCUGCUUGGACUGUCUGCACCUAUUCUUGGAUCCCUUCCCCCCUACCCAGUUUUAUUUUGUUAUGUAUGCUUGAGUGAAAUGUGCCACUUGACUGGUGAUAAGGGAAUUCCUGACAAUCCUUUCUGCUUUUCAGUGUUGGAAGUACUGAAAGACAAACUUCAAAAGAGCUUUCACUGAAUACAAGAAAAAUGCAGACUAGAGUUUAGUUAAAGCUUUUGCUUUAGGUAUGUAAUUCAACAAGGAUCCCCGUGCAGGUGUUGAUGGAGACCGAGUACUUCCCUCUCCAGUAAACGUCAAGAAACAGAAACACCUUUUUGGAUUCACUGGAAUGGUUGGAUUUUCCUCCCUCUAGCAGAUGGAUUUGGAUGCUCUCAGACACAGUAGUCUUAAGGAGACUGUACCCUGGGAGAAAACAGUAAAUGCCACUUCUCAGCUGGUUCUGCUGGCUGUGUAAGCACCUGGGGAGGAAAGGCCACUUGGAAAUGGGCUUCUGCUGCUCCAUCCAUCUGUGCCUACAGCCAAGGACUGCUGGAGCACCCGCUGUUGGUCUGGAUGGAGAUGGCUUGGCUCAGGAGGACACUGCAGCCCCAGCUUGCACUCACUUUGUGUCAUGGACAAGAUUUCAUUGGGAUGAGUGCCUGCUCUCUGUGGAUGGUUAGCUGGAUUUCUCCAUGGCUGUAUGAUGCAAACUCAGCUGGGAUGAGCCCAGCAGGCGGGAGCUGGGGCUGAGCCAUCAGCCGGAGCUUGAAGAAGCCAACAAGGAGGGACCUGGCAGAGAAACGAGCCCGAGAGAGUGAGGGAGGACUGGGAGUGAAGAUGUUUGUGUGAUAUAAAGCGUGUCUUGGCUGCCAGCAGGAUUUGCAGAGUGGCUGGAGGAACAUAUUUGAGGCUGUUUGAGGUAACUCGACUGCUCUGUGCUGAGCUUUCUUGCAGACACUGCAGUGUUCACAUGCAGGUUGUCUUCUGAACCAGCGCUGCCCUGACUGAGCACUUACACGGGAAGGAUGUCCCUGGAUGUGGGGUGAUGGCAGCUCCCUGAGCUGGAGGGUGCUGGUAGGGUCAGGAACAGCCACUGUGUGCUCAAAGCCAGGGAGCUGUGGGCAGAGCAAAUCCCCUGGUGGGCUUCAAGUCUCAGCACAUUUGAAUGUGUCAAUAAAUGCUUGUCCCUAAGCCCUCCCCCUUCAACCGAAGGUGCUGCCGUGUCAGUGAAGCUUAGAUUUGGGGCUGUGACUCUUUUCAUAGAUAUAAAAAUUCCUAUGUUAUGAUUUUACUCUAUUAGGGCAAAAUUCUGCAUUAAAAAAAUCCUAUUUACAGUCAUGAGGAAGCUGCUUUUCAUUAGGAUCAUUUGCCAUAAGUCAAAAACUCAUGUGUUUAAAGAAUAUGCUUGAUUCUCUCAGUCCCAGUGCUCCAUGGUGAGCUCGCUGCUGGGGCGAGGGUGCCAGCCUGGCUUUCAGUCAUGCUGGGGCUCUGCACUUCAAAACGUUGAACUUGUACAAGCUCCACAGCACCCAGAUGAGCACAAAUACCCCAGGUGGGGAGUUUUUUGAUGGUGCUGGUGGCUAAUAGACAGCAGCCAGUGUCAUACAGAGAUGUAAAGAUGCAAACUAUUUGUUAAAAUACAUACGCAUUAUCAGAUGAACUGAGUCGUGCACAGUUCUCUCUUGCACAACAUCCUCCCCAGCCCAAUGUGCAUGGCUGAUAGGAGCAUCUUCCUCUGCAGAAGCCCAA